rnacentral:misc_RNA from 1 species
UAACACGGUCAAAAUUUUUUCUCCUUUCAAAAAUGCCGAGAGAGAAGAGUCCUGGUCUCAAGAUCCUCUGGCUUUGGACCAUUGGCACUGCCGCCAUUCUCGUGACGAGUGUGGUAAGGACAAGGCUAAGAGACAUGGAGCAGCUAAUGAGCGCGGAACAGCAGCAACAGCAGACACAAAGUACUCUCGGCGAUUCAAUUAUAGUAGACUCCUCGCCGGAGCCCCAAGAGGGAACAAUUCGAGAAGUGAAAUAGUAGAUUUUUGUUUCAAAUUUAAUUUCCCAUUUUUGUAUUUUCACUCUUCUUGCGAAUUUCCUGAAAGUUGCAAGCGUGCUUGUUGUCUUAAGUCCUAAUAACAAAUAGAACGCAACGCAUUAUAUGUGUCUAUUACCUGUUU